CAACUGCUCAACCACCCUAAGGAGGUCAAUGCUUUGCUGGGGAGCAAGACAGAGAACGCAUACAACACUGUCAGAGACCCAAAGGAGCCUGCACUUCUGGUAAGAAUCUGCACCGGAGCCAAUGUACAGCUAACAUGGCCCAAACAAACCUGCACUCUACCUAGCAGAGACUUCUGUGCAGAGACAGACACCAUUUCUGAGGGCAUCUGGACAAGAAGAAUUCCUCCAGUGUGGCCUGCAGUCAAGAGCUUCCCCUCAAGUAUCAGCAUAGAGGUGAGUGCCUGCGUAUGUGUUUCCAGUGCCCAGGAAAGGGGUGCUCUUGGCCCCAGCCUGGCUCCUUUCUGCCCCUUGUGGCUUCAUGAGGCCAUGGUGCAUGACUGUGUCCAACAGUCUGUAAGUCCAAGCUCCAUUCAUACGCAAACCCUCUCCUCCUAAAGUGGUCUCUGGUCACCUGUCCCCAUGACCUCGAGUGUAUAGCCCUGGAAACAGGCUGGGACUAUCUGGGCAGAAAAUGUAUGGGUCCUAAUGCCAGGCUGUAGUCUAGUUGGCAGUGCAGGCACUGGGUAGGAGAGGCCUCAGUAGAGAAAGGGGCCUCUGCCAUGCUGCACCCAGAAAAGAGAGGCCUGGGGUCCUGCUGUUAGAUGUCUUAUGCAGUGUGGCCUAGGUUCCCAAAGGAGUGACUCUCCAGCUGAAUGUUGGCAGGUGGGCAGGAGCUCGAUCCUUUCUAGCAGGAGAACAUAUUAAGGGCAAUGGAAUGAUGCCGAGAGAGAACUGAAAGAAUUCUAUGUGAUGCAGUGGUUCCGAGAAAAGCAUAAAGAUGAGUGUGACUGAGGGGUAGGUCAGGGACUGCAAAGGGUUAGGGUCAGACAAACCUGAGAGGUCACGCCUGAGUCCUGCCAGGAAGGCAAUAUGGAACCACAAGCAAUUUUGUACCAGAGGGGGACGUGAUUGGAUUCGUAUUGUAAAGAGGAGGCAUUCUUCCAUAAAUAAUGGUACAGAAAAUGAAUGAGAACAAAAGAUAAUGGCCAGGAAAAUUUAGCCUGCAGAAGGCAGAUGUUGUUGGCGGAAGAAGCCAGAGGUCCUGUGGAGGCCCCUCCACAGAUGGGACCCAGAUCUGAGUCAUUUGUGUCCUUGCAUGGAGGAAACUAGCAAAGUUUUCUGACCUUCCCGGCCUUGGUCACCCUCAUUUUAAAAAUAGCCCGAGGCUCCCUGGGAGAACGAAGAUGAAUUCGAGCAUGGAUAGGAAUUGUCCCUGCCCAGGCCUGCCCCAUGGAGC
rnacentral:lncRNA from 1 species